UACGGGGGGGGGCAAGCGUUGUUCGGAAUUACUGGGCGUAAAGGGCUCGUAGGCGGCCAACUAAGUCGGAUGUGAAAUCCCCAGGCUCAACCUGGGAACUGCAUCCGAUACUGGAUGGCUUGAAUUCGGGAGAGGGAUGACAGAAUUCCAGGUGUAGCGGUGAAAUGCGUAGAUAUCUGGAGGAAUACCGGUGGCGAAGGCGGCAUCCUGGACCGACAUUGACGCUGAGGAGCGAAAGCCAGGGGAGCAAACGGG
rnacentral:rRNA from 1 species